rnacentral:rRNA from 1 species
GAUGAACGCUGGCGGCGUGCCUAAUACAUGCAAGUCGAGCGAACAGACGAGGAGCUUGCUCCUCUGACGUUAGCGGCGGACGGGUGAGUAACACGUGGAUAACCUACCUAUAAGACUGGGAUAACUUCGGGAAACCGGAGCUAAUACCGGAUAAUAUAUUGAACCGCAUGGUUCAAUAGUGAAAGACGGUUUUGCUGUCACUUAUAGAUGGAUCCGCGCCGCAUUAGCUAGUUGGUAAGGUAACGGCUUACCAAGGCGACGAUGCGUAGCCGACCUGAGAGGGUGAUCGGCCACACUGGAACUGAGACACGGUCCAGACUCCUACGGGAGGCAGCAGUAGGGAAUCUUCCGCAAAGGGCGAAAGCCUGACGGAGCAACGCCGCGUGAGUGAUGAAGGUCUUCGGAUCGUAAAACUCUGUUAUUAGGGAAGAACAAAUGUGUAAGUAACCAUGCACGUCUUGACGGUACCUAAUCAGAAAGCCACGGCUAACUACGUG